rnacentral:piRNA from 1 species
UGGGUGGAAGAUCUACUGAUGAGAUA